ACUCCGGAAAGUUGCCCAGUUUGCUACACUUGAUUUGGACUUCGGAUACUGAAGCCUUCUUGUCUGGUCCGUGAUCUACCACACGGGCUUAAUUUGUUUACAAAUAGCAGUGUUGUUUGUUUUUAUGGUGUGUGCGUGUCUAUUAUCGGGACUUGGGCCACAUAUUGGAGUGAGAUUGUGAUUGCGAGGUUUUGAUUUAGUAUUUUAGUUCCCUCCCUGGGCUGUCGAUCUGGGUCUGACGGCUAGUCAAACGCAUUCCCUGGCAUCGUUUCCAGCCCCGGACUAAUUUCCAGCUCUGCUCGUUCAUGUUGUCAGCUGGAUCUUUCGGUUCUCGUAAGGAUCUGCAGAAGUGUUCACAAGCCACCUGGUCGCAAAUCAAAGAAGAUUGACAGAACUUUGUUCAAUUACAUUAACAACGUCGAAAGUAGCGUACUUCAAGAGAAAAUAUGCAGAAGAAGAAGAUUUGCAUAAAGUUUACAAUGGGUACUUUCCAAAAAACCUGAUCUUUCCAGAAGAUCGAACAUGUAUUCUAAGGCUUUCACUAGAAAAACUAAGGAUUCUUGAAGACCCUGAAAUCUAUCUUCGAAGGGCUGUUUUAAUAAACAAUUUAUUGAGGAAAAUCCACAUUGAAACAGAGAAAGAAGUGUAUGACUAUGCUGAACAGUUUAAUAAGGCUUCAAAGCAUCUCUAUUCUGAUGCACAGAAAAGAGUGAAGUAUAUGAUCAAGGAUUGUAAUGAAUGUUCCGAAUCUUUGUAUUAUGACGAGAUUGGUUCAUAUUCCAUUGUGCCUUUUUCUUCAAAUAAUGUCAUCUAUGGACUUGGUUAUCCAAAUGACUAUUUGGGAAAAAGUACUUUCUAAAAUGGAAUUCCAAAGAGGAUGAUGACUCGUUAGAUUUAGACCUCUGUCAUUCUGUGCUUGGCAGAGAUGAAGCUUUGGAAACCAACAUAUUCAUUCACUGAAAAAUAACAGUGAAUCUGCACACAAGAUCUAAUGGAUGUGGUCUGGUUGGAAAAUUGGUGACUUUAUAAAUCAGUAAAGUGAGAGCACUUAUGUUAAUCUUUGUUUUUGAUCAGAUCUGUUUGGAGCAUCAUGUAUUAAUGUGCAGUGUUUUUUUAUUGCUAAGUAUGGACUAUGUAGAGAUUAUCUUAAUAGAACCAGUACAAAAUGGUGAUUUAUUGAUUUUACUCUCUAUUUUUAUUUUGUCAUCUCAUUUCUUCAUUAUUUCCACUAUUUCACCCCUUUCUGUGGUUGGGUAACAGGAUGAAAUGGAAGCUUCACUGCCAUUUUUAAUGCUGCUUCCUGGAGGCUGGGUUCUGCCAGCUUUUUCUUGUUGCUGGUGAUGCAGUACUCAGUCAUAUGACUAGAAAUUAAUCUUACCCAAGUAGAGGUAGGCACGCUUAGGUAACCAUUGAGGCUGCCAUUUUGAACAAUAAUCUCCAAAGGAGGUUUAGAUGCUCCACUUCUGGGGCUUUUUGGGUCAACAUAAAAAUAGUGCUAUGGUGAGUGUUUGUCAGUUAAUACUUCACAUAGCUAAUCUUUUCAGUAAGGGAGAUUGCUUGAAAGCUGUAUCUAUGUAGAAAUUGUGACGUACAUUGUAAUAUUAAUUUAUCAGUACACAAUAGAUUAUUUUGUUUAGAUAAAAUCUCCAAAACAGAGUUAUGAAAAAAGCUUCUUGAAUGGUCAUACUUUAAAAGUGAAUUAAAAUCCAAAGGCAGGGUAGUGUAAAAUGAAGAUAAAUAAUCAAUUGUGCAGGAACUUUACAGACUAAAACAACUGGAUUUGAUUCCAAAAUCCUUUUUGAAUGGAGUACAAUCACCAUUUAUUAGUCACUUGUAAGACUGCUAAGUAAGUUGUCAUUUUUAGCCAUCUAAUAACAACUUCAAUAGACUUUUAUACUUUUAUCAUCUCUUCAGUUGUGAUCCCUUAUGGAAUUGUUGUCAACAAAUGUAUUUGAUGUAUUGUACCUUUAAAGAUAAUAAGAACUAAAACUUGUACCAUGGACCAGCUUGAGUUCUUUACUAUAUCUGCUGCAAUUUGGAACAGAACCAAGCUCCUGAAGUAUCUGAUAUGGUAUAGAAACAAUAGUGGUUGGAUUAUAUUUGUGUGUCACAGAAGGUUACUGCCAGAGAUGUAAUUGAAUUUAAAAGAAAACCACAAUUAAAUUUGUUAGACUAUGCCUUUUCUGCAAAAUAGAAACUUAAAUGGUGGAUUGAGUGGCAGUAUUAUAACUGUAGUAUGUAUAGCUAUGGCUGAGUUGAGUAAUACAUUCAAACUGGUACAUCAUUAAGUAUCUUAGGCACAAAUUAGCUCCCAAAUUUGCUGAUGGCAUUAUUAUUACUAAAGAAAGCUCCAUUAGCCAAAUUAUAUUGCCAAUUUCACCUGCAACUUUCCCAAGAUGUUGCAAUAAAAUUUCUACGAUUCAUCACAAAGUAUGUCUCUGAACAUGUCCACAUGUUUUCUCCGUUGUGCAAUCUGGAAAAGACUGCAAAUUAAUUAGAUACCAAUUUUAUGAACAUUUUAUAUUUACUCAUCAUAUCAAUUACUUCAUUUUCUGGUUAACUGGACACUAAAGUUAAUUAAUUCCACUGCACUAGUCCUUAGCACAAGCCAGGGGUAAAUGUGGCUCAGCUAAGACCUCCAAGACCAUGCUUUUCCAUUCAGUACAGUUAAUAGUGGGUUGGGAAUGAACAACUUUGCAAUUGGCACUCAUGAGCCAAGGAUUGAUCUAGCAGAAUUUGCACCCUAGAGUUCUCCAUUCAUUUGCAACUUCUGAGUUUUCAUUUUGUAAUUGGACAGUGUUCUGUGAACUUUAUUGUGAAUCUCCCAAUUUUAUAUCCUUUUAUGUCUGUUAUACUGUUUUCUCUCCUCCCAUGUCCUAAAAUUGUUGGGUUCCACAGUACUCAUAGUCCUCUGCUAUUUCACCAAGUUUGAUAUUAUUCAUGUGUGGGUCUGUAGUGACAAUGGGCAGAAUCACAUUUCAAUCCAAUCCUUGUCUUCACUCAUGGUAUAAUUUCCAGCAGAAGUCAUUAGAUAGCAGUCAGGGCCAGGAAUCUGAGUUGAUUUUCUUUCUAUCUCCUAGGGAUGAAGGUAGCAUGGCCAGUUGUGGUGUUUGAACUGAAGUACAGGAAAAGCUGUUUCUUAACAGCCUGCAUUUAUUGUCAUCAUUUAGUGAAUGUCAAUGGAUAAUAGGUUCAGAAGGAACCUAUGUUUUACACGUUGCUUGUAUAAAACAGUAUGAUACUAGAGGAUGCAAGGUUUUUCUAGGUCCUCUCCCUCCUUGAUGCAACCAAUGAUUUCCCAUUAAUAAAGUGAAAAGCCUCCAUUUACAGUACCUUGUGCUUUUCUGGGCCUCAGAAAGUCCCAAAGCGCUUUACAGCCAAUUAAGUACCUUUUCAAUUGUUUUGAUGCUGCAAAUUACAAUUAAAACUACUUUAGACUUUUAAAAAAUUAGUUUAAUAUAAUUAAAUUUCAUGCAAUAAUGUGUGCUCAAGUUAAAAUUAACCACAUAAAUAAUUUGGGACAUAGGAAAUAUGGCAGGAGAAAUUAAAGUCAUGGCCAUCCUCUGCAUCUGAAAAUCAGACAUCUGAAAGUCAGGAGGUGGUUGUCGAAAGAGUGGAGGUGCAUCUGAUGCCACAUGCAGCUUAAACUGUAAAUAGGUAAUCAUCAUUUUCAUAAUGCAGGUUAUAGGGUCAUGAUGAAAAUAAUCAUGAAUAAAUAAGUAGAUCACACAAGCUGUUCCUAGUUGCACAAUGUCUUGGAUAGCCUAACCAAUUGAUUGGCAAUAGGAUACCAUUUGCUGCCUCAGCCUGCUGCUUCUGCUCAAAGAGGGCUUACACCCUUUGGUUCAGUCCUGAGGCAAGAAUGGACCAAAAUGCCCAGUUUGGAUGCAAGUUGAAUUUCUACUUGCAAUGCUUUUAAUUAACAUUUAAGGUUGGAUUUAAAAGGUACCAAAUUUACAUUUUGAGGAUUAUAACAACAUCUUGAACCAUUUUCUUUAACAUUCAUCAAUCUUUGCAUUUCUUCAAAUAAAUUUUGUACUGCAGAAAUCAUUAGUAUUUGUGACAUGCUAUAUGCAUUUUAAAUGCUUGUUGUCUUCUCAGAAGAUUAAUGGUCUGGCCAGAACUAAAUAUACAGCUGCAUCACCAUGGCAGUUGCAUUGAGAAUCUGUUCAUGUUUUACUUUUGUUUCAUCAUUGUCUAAGUCUCAGGUCUGACAUUUAUGUACUCAUGUCUGAAGCCAAAAAGUUUCUUUUUCGUUUCCAGGAAUUUUCUUUCAAAGAAAAGUAGAAAAUCUGCAGGCACUUUGUGGCUUGGAUUCAGCUCUGAAGUUUUUCAAAGCGUAGUUACUUUUGCACUAGCUUUACAUUGCUAUCUUAACAUAAAACUUACAUUUAUUCUCAAUUCUGAUUUCUCAUUUUGUAAGUUAUUAUUGCAACAUUAUGCAAUGUUUAUGCAAAUUUUAUGUAAAAAAAUCAAGAUUUAAAAUGCUGAUUUACAAGACUGCCAUCCCAGUAAGCUGCCUUUGGACUUUCUCGACUGUACAACUCUAGUGUUAGUAGAACCACCACAGACUCAUUUGUACUGCUAAAUUUAAUGUAAACCUAUUACCAACAUCAUAUGAUGGACUAAAGAAAUUAUUACUUGGCUGAAAACUCUGUAACUUGGUCUUUUUUCAUUAUAAUAAAUAUUCUUAUCUUCCACUGUAAUCUAACAGUGUGGUUCUCAUAAAGGUAGUCAAAUAGUUCUAGUAAUUCUUCACACACUCCUAUUGAUCUAAUGAGUCUACUUGGAUUAUAGGCAUCAGUUUGCCAUAUCAUUGUAAGUCUCUGAGUUGGCUCCAAACUUGUAUGGCCACAAAGACUCAAAAUUCUUGAGAUGAAGAGACCUUUUUUUUACAAAUGCUACUUAUAUAUUUAGUGAUAGGAUACUUAACUCAAAGCUUUAAAAAAAUGGGAGUUCUUCAAGUUUGCUCCAUGAUAGUUGUGGUUAUUUUAGUCGAAAGGAAGCAAAUAGUUUGAUACAAUCUCCUUAAACACCAUUUCUGUUAAAUUGAGUUGGGAAACAAUCACUAUAUAAACUUAGGAGUUCAAAUGCAAAACUCUCUGAAGUGGAUAAAGUCAUAAAAAAGCAGAGAUAAUAAACUUUCAAGUUAAUGAUUAAACCAUUCUUGUAGUAUUUUAUGCAUUUUAGCUAUUCCAACAAAAUAAAACUACAAUAAAGAGUGCACAGUGUAUAUCCACCAAGAUAGCCUCAGAAAUGGGAAAUUAUAAAUAUUGGGACAGAUUCUAAUGUAGCAGAGAAAUUGAAUAGGUUUAAGUGUGUUUUUUUGUAAAUUAUGAGAAAUUUUGGGAAAAAACUAAGAUUAUAUUAUUUUCUGUAGUUUAUGGAUCAGUGAUGUGGGGUUUAUCUUCUUCAAACUUAUAAUGCAUCAGGAUAAAGUUUGUAUUUACAGUCAUCAAAUCAUUACUUACAGAUUAGAAUACUUACAGUGUGGAAACAGGCCCUUCGGCCCAACAAGUCCACACUGACCCUCUGAAGA